AGAGUUUGAUCCUGGCUCAGGAUGAACGCUGGCUACAGGCUUAACACAUGCAAGUCGAGGGGCAGCAUGCCGGUUGCUUGCAACCGGUGAUGGCGACCGGCGCACGGGUGAGUAACGCGUAUCCAACCUUCCCGCGACCAAGGGAUAACCUGCCGAAAGGCAGACUAAUACCUUAUGUCCUCCUUUGAAGGCAUCUGACGAGGAGCAAAGAUCCGUCGGUCACGGAUGGGGAUGCGUCCGAUUAGCUUGUUGGCGGGGCAACGGCCCACCAAGGCUUCGAUCGGUAGGGGUUCUGAGAGGAAGGCCCCCCACACUGGAACUGAGACACGGUCCAGACUCCUACGGGAGGCAGCAGUGAGGAAUAUUGGUCAAUGGGCGGAAGCCUGAACCAGCCAAGUAGCGUGCAGGACGACGGCCCUACGGGUUGUAAACUGCUUUUAUGCGGGGAUAAAGUUGCCCACGUGUGGGUUUUUGCAGGUACCGCAUGAAUAAGGACCGGCUAAUUCCGUGCCAGCAGCCGCGGUAAUACGGAAGGUCCGGGCGUUAUCCGGAUUUAUUGGGUUUAAAGGGAGCGCAGGCCGCCGUGCAAGCGUGCCGUGAAAAGCAGCGGCCCAACCGCUGCCCUGCGGCGCGAACUGCCUGGCUUGAGUGCGCCGGAAGCGGGCGGAAUUCGUGGUGUAGCGGUGAAAUGCUUAGAUAUCACGAAGAACCCCGAUUGCGAAGGCAGCCCGCUGUGGCGCCACUGACGCUGAGGCUCGAAGGUGCGGGUAUCGAACAGGAUUAGAUACCCUGGUAGUCCGCACGGUAAACGAUGGAUACCCGCUGUCCGGCCCGUACGGUCUGGGCGGCCAAGCGAAAGCGUUAAGUAUCCCACCUGGGGAGUACGCCGGCAACGGUGAAACUCAAAGGAAUUGACGGGGGCCCG
rnacentral:rRNA from 1 species